UACGUAGGGUGCGAGCGUUAAUCGGAAUUACUGGGCGUAAAGCGUGCGCAGGCGGUUUUGCAAGCCGGAUGUGAAAUCCCCGGGCUCAACCUGGGAAUGGCAUUUGGGACUGCAAGGCUCGAGUGCGGCAGAGGAGACUGGAAUUCCUGGUGUAGCAGUGAAAUGCGCAGAUAUCAGGAGGAAUACCGAUGGCGAAGGCAGGUCUCUGGGCUGACACUGACGCUCAUGCACGAAAGCGUGGGGAGCAAACAGG
rnacentral:rRNA from 1 species